GGUAAACAGGAUUAGGUACAUGGUAUUAAAUACAGUGAGUUCUAAAUUUUUCUUCAAAGAAUCAGUAUGUCAGUAUGUUCAGUUCUUUGUUCCCCAUUUUAAAGUUUAACUUCCUCAUUCUCCUCGUCUCCUUGCCCCUGGUUUCAGUAAAUGACCUUUUCCAUCAGUUCUAAUCAGUAGUUCACACCUGUUCCCCUGGUCACCUGCUCCAUCCUGAGUCACCCCUGGUUACCCGCUCUGAUCUGUCACAUUUAGUCAUGUGUUCCGUAACCAUCCUUCCCACCAAAACUGCUCACCCCGCCAUUCUGGUCAUACCCCUGCUCUCUUUAAAAUAGCCAAUCAGAAUUAGCUUAGACUGUGCAGUCCAACCCUAGCCUAUAGGGCAACGACACAGCAGUAGGGGCUACCUGCAUCAGGGAUAAGAACCCCUUCCCCUCCCCUGUUCAGGUGUGCUCUCGCCAUUGCUCCAUCUGUUCAAAAAAAAAAAAAAAAAAAAAAAAUUCAGUGAUCGGGAAUUGAUGAAGAAAUUGCUUCAUUAAGUGAGUAAACUCUUUAUCUAGCUCAUUCUUUGAUCUGUUUGGUUUUAGGAGGUUUGGUUUAUGGAGAUCUUGGGUAAGGGGCAUACUCCAAAUUCUUGGUAUAUCCUCUAAUAAUAGUCUCCCUGGUGUGCUGCGUUCUCUCAAAGGUUUUAAAUGCUUGCAUGCAGCCAUCUCUAAAAUGAAAUAUAGUUUCUUUUCAACUGGAAUAACAAGAGCCAAAAGAAUCUGCAACCAUGAGGACACCGUAACCUAUACCUGACGUGCUGAGAAUGAAAACCCAAAAUAAUAGUAACCAAGAGUGGCACUAAGGCCCUAAGUUUUGGUCCCACUCUCACUCAAGUGAAAACCUGAAUAAAGGGGAAUUUUUUAAAGAAAAUUAUGGGAGGCCAUUGUUUUGGACUGAGCUCAUGCACUAGGCCCCUACAAACCAAACCAAACCAAACCAAAAUGGAGUCGCUCGUGCUAAAACUUUAGGGAAACGCAUAGAUUCUACAAGAGACCAGGUUUUGUUUUUUUUCUCCUGCAUAUCUCUAUAAAAAACAUUUCUGACAGCAUAGGUAUCAACCCCCUGAAGUUCCCAUUAAAUCUUUUAGCCAAAUUCAUUUCCUCUCGCCUAGAUAAUCAUCAAGCUUCAGAUGAUCAUGCAACCACGGUUCCAGCCAGUUCCAGGUGAAGACACCACCCCUGGCCAUCAAGAAGCUACCCUGCCUCCACGAGAUAGAGCAUGGCGAGAGUUCCGUGAUUUCCAAUAGGUAGGGACUAUGCCCCAGGUCGGCAUGAAGCAGUUACAGAAGAAAGCUCUUCAGUCCCUCUGCCUCACAUAAAGAUUUAUGGGGAUCAAGUCUCUCAGCGGGGAGAUGAGGCAGGAGAAUAGGGCCUGGAGGCAGGGGACCUAAGGCUGUUUUACGCUGACUUCCUAGAACUAAAUUGAAAGGAAAACCCUCACUUUCAACGCCUAAGUAACAAAAGGACCAGAGGCUACUCCCUUUGACCUUUUCUGCACUACAGAUGGAAAAUUGGCUGUGGCAACAAAUUAGGCUGACUUCUGGCCUAGUCUUCGUUUGCAUACAAGUAUAACUUUGUUAACUUCACCCUAGCCUCUGAUUGGUUGCUUUUUGCAACCAAUCAGAUAUUUGCACAGGAGUGUGACCUUUGUAACUUCAGUUUAGCCUCUGGUUGUCUCCUUUCUGCAACCAAUCAGAUUUAUUUCGGGCGACCACUCCACUUACAUGAGGUGGCCAAUGGGAAACUUCUAGGGGGUAUUUGAACCAAAGAAGAUUCUGUAUCCAGGCCCUUGAGCCUCUGCUGAGGCCAUCUCCCACAGUGUGGAGUGUACUUUCGUUUUCAGUAAACCCUUGCUUUCAUUCUUUUGUUACUUCAUUCUUGCUUUGCUUUGCUGGGCAUUUUAUGCAAUUAUUUGUUCAAAACGCCAAGAACCUGGACAACUUGCAAUCCUGACCCUCUACGGGUCACAAACCCAAGUUGCACCCAACUGGACAAAUCUCCAGUAAUCCAUGUUCAGUGGCGCCUUUAUCUCUGGAAGGCGUUUUUUCAAACAGAAAGGGCGGGAGAAAAGGGCUCCAAGACAGGGCUUGAUUGAAAAUGUGGAACCCUACUGCCACCGUGAGGAAAUCGUUUAAAGACGGAAUACGCCAUCAUGGCGUCCUUCUCGGAAAGCCUCCCUGUGGGGGAAAGGCUGAUCUGUAGGCCCCCAGGCUAUGUCUUCCUGCCUUUUCCUCUAAGGCCUGAAAAGAGACAGGGACAUUGGCGGUAUCUUGGUGUAGAAUCUGGAGAGUGCGGGGUUUGGAGUGAACCAGCAGCUGCCAGGAGGUACUGGCACAGGAAGUCGUGGAGCGGAAACUUGGUUCCUCCGGUGUGGGGAGGACAGUAGGGAACCAGUCAAACACACAUAGAGGCUCUUGUGGGCAUCUGUCUCUUCUACCUGCCCUUUGGAGCAAGAGUCAGCAGGCUUUCACUUGCUAGCAUCUUGCUAUGGGUCUUGGGGUUUCUGGUAGCAUCAAUAUCGCUCACAAGGAACACAGUUAUUCCAAGGGAAGUUUACAGGAUUUGCUGUUAGAACCUUCACUCUCCAGGUUCUACAGCAAGGUACCGCCAAUGUCCACGUCUCUUUUAAGGCCUUAGACGAGAAGGCAGGGACUCUGAGCAUGGAGCCCAAGCCUCUUCCACCUCCCCACAGACCAGACCUUCCCCAACAGGUAGUCCUCACAAGACGACCCAUGUAAUGGCGUAGGGAUCCGUUAAAUGACAUCCUCGCGAUGGCGGUAGUGCAUCAGAUAUGCCAGAAAGCCCUGUCUUGGAGCACCGCCCCCUUCUCCUGCCCUUCCUGUCUGAAAAAACGCGACUCAUAGACAAAGGCGCAACCAAACAUGGAUGCCUUCUAUUUGCCCAGUGUGGAGCCUGCUAGUCUUACUGCUGCACUUUUUCAUUUUGUUUUCCACUUGAAAUCAAACCGAGGCCUAAAGCACCGGUCCUCAUCAGGAAUCCAGUUCUUCCAGAAAUUAAAUAUCCUCCUGACCUACUCUGUGUGGGUUUGAUUUACUUCAGAGUUACAGGUCCAGUAAUUUCCGAGGCAUCAAACUGUCUCCUUCAGGGAAUACAUUCAGUGGAUGAACUCACAAAAAAGAGAAAAGGAGCCGGGCGCGGUGGCUCACGCCUUUAAUCCCAGCACUUUGGGAGGCCGAAGCUGGCGGAUCACCCGAGGUCAGGAGUUCGAGACCAUUAUGGCCAGCAUGGCAAAACCCUGUCUCUACUAAAAAUACAAAAAUUAGCCGGGCGUGGUGGCACAGGCCUGUAAUCCCAGCUACUCCAGAGGAGGAGGCAGGAGAAUCACUUGAACCUGGGAGGGGAAGGUUGCAGUAAGCGGAGAGCGCACUAUUGCACUCCAGCCUGGGCAACAGAGUGAGAGUGUCUCAAAAAAAAAAAAAGAGAGAGAGAGAGAAAAGGGCUAAAAGCUUGAAAGCUUGGAAAAGAACUCCAGCAAAAAAUUUAAAAAUCCCAGAGGUCUUCGCCCUGGCUCCCCUGUCAGGCAUCCAGGGAAUUCUUCCUAUUCUAAGAGCCUUAUGUGGUACAUCAUAGGCAACAAUUUGGCAUGAGCCAUUAGAGGAGAAACCAGGUGACGCUCCUUACUGCAUGCCAUAUAUACUCCAAAUGCCAUGAUACUCAUAGAACAUAUGUUCAAUUCAUAUCAAGGUGGCUCAGGGUUUCAUCUCAUGGUCUCAUCAUUUAACAUCAAAACACAGCAUGUGCCCGUGCCAUUACAUAUUCUUCAAGUAUUCCCUGAGACUUUAUGGGGUGUGUGUUUGUGUUCGUGUUUGUGUGUGUCUCUGAGAGUUUUAUAAUUGGUCUUUUAAGUAUAAGGAUUACAGUAUUCUCCAACUAGUAAAUUAAAGAAUAAUGCUUGACAAAGAUUAAGAAAAAUCCAUGUAUUAACACAGAAAACCGCUACCAUACAACUUGUCAAGGUAACUCAUGAACUUAUGGAUUAUUUCCAUGCAUCUUUCAAAAUGUGCAUACAUUAACUUCAUGCAAAAAAAUAAAUCUGUGUAAAAAGUGGAUUACUGUGUACAUAGUGGUUUGGAUCAGACCAAAUGUGUAUUUUAAUGAAACUUUCAGAUGCAUGAAUUAAUUCAAAUGUCACCAGUACUAAGUCUUAUAUGUCAACAUUUCAUGCCUUCAAUAUAAAUAAAGGUAAAUCUUAACAUACAGCCUCAGGAAAAUUACUUUAGUAAAGUAGACAAUAUCAGCUCUUUGAUUUUUUACAGCUACAUCACUACACAUUUCUAAAAAAAAGUUCAUGAAGAGACAAAGACAUCAGAAAUUAUGGCUACCUAACAUUUUGCUCAAUUUGUGUAAACAAUUUCCACUCUUAACCAUUUGCUUUUGGUUUCCAUUGGAUAUUAACCUGAGAUGUAAUCCAUGCACCCUCAUCAAGCAUCUCAUCUUUUUAAGAACUCAGUUUCUGCACAACCAAAUCUUCCCAUUUCUACUCUUUUUCACUCUGCAUCAUAUCUGCAGUAUUUUAUUGUGAUAUCAAAUAGUCUUGUAGUAAUGGGGAGAGACCUUAGGUUUCCAUGCCUAAGGAGAGAAGAAAAAAAAAAGCUCACCUCUAAAGGCUUGGAGAAGAGCAAAUCUAGGCACCAGGCCACGUGGUUCUUGUCCUGAUUCCCUACUCAGGUUCCCCGGGAAUUUUACUCCAUGUUCUAAUCUAGUCAGUAGGCCUUAUACAUUGAGGGGGAGGAUGCUAUUUAGUGGGGCACUAACAUAAGGGUACGGAUAGCUCUCAAGCCUGACAAGACACACACAGCCCUACUUGAAUAGACACAAACACAGGAAUGACUGUAAAUACUAAUCAGAUUGAUCACAGGAUUUUGUCUCAUAGUUUCAUUAUUUAACACUGAAUUAGAAAUAUUUUCCAGUGUCAUUAAAUGGCUGUCACUUAGGACUGUGCCCUAUGACUUUCUUGUGUAUGUGUCUUAUUGUUUUUCAGUUGGGAAUCAGUCCUAUAUUUUCUCAUUAGUAACAAAGACAUGGAAUUUGCAAAGAAGUUAAAAAUAACCAUGUGCUGAUCAAGAGAAAAGCAAUGUCAUAAAACUGUAUUAAACAAUGAUCAUUGUUUCCAUAUUUCCUCUCAUUUUUUCAACACUCAGAUAAAAAGUUCUAUAUAUACAGUCAAACACCACAAUAAAUUUACAUUUUACUUGAAUUUAGAUAUAUAAAUAAAGUUGAAGAAUUAAAAGUUUCACAUCUGAUUCCUGAGGUUUUUUUAUUCUCAUAAGAAAGUUGCAAUAUCUGAAUUUUAGACAAUAAAAUAUUUGCAAAAACUUCUUGAUUGGACUAUUCAUCAAAACAUAAGUUCUCCAUUUUCACUUUUAUAUCUAAAAUAUAUGUAUAUUUAUACACACAUAAAAUAGAAACACGUUUAUAUACAAUAGAAACAUAUGUAUUAUACAUACUUAUACCUAGAAAAUUAGGAUGUUUAAUUCUUCUCAAAUUUUUAUUCUUAAUUCUUUCCUUAAAAUUUUAUCUUUGAAACCUCAAAAGAAAGAUAGCAAAAUUCAAUAAAUGAUAGUUGAAAUAGGCAUCUCUCACAUUCAGUCACCUGGAGGUGUAACCUAAGAAAACUGUAAGAUGGAUGCAUUCACACAACUCACAUGCAGCUAGAAUGCUUUAUUACUGUCUCUGUUUAUAUAAUGACAAAUUAAAGUUUUGAAUUUGUUGGCCAAAAAUACCAUCUUCAAACGUAUACUCAUUAUAACACCUACCAUGAUUAAAUAUAUAUAGCAUUGGCCGGGCCCAGUGGCUCACUACUGUAAUCCCAACACUAUGGGAGGCCAAGGCAGGAGGAUAGCUUGAGCCCAGGAGUUCAAGACCAUUCCUGGCAAUGUAGUGAGACCCCGUAUCUACAAAAAAUACAACAAAUAACCAGGCAUGGUGGCGUGCAACAGAAGCCCCAGCUAUGUAGGAGGCGGAGAUGGGACGACCACCUGAGUCCAGGGAGGUUGAUUCUGCAGUGACCCAUGAUCAUGCCAUUGCACUCUCACCUGGGCAACAAUGAGACACUGUCAUAUAUAUAUAUAUAUAUAUAUAUAUAUAUAUAUAUAUUUUUUUUUUUUUAAUAUUGUUAUAUACCUACAGACAGAUAUAAAUACACACACACUCAACACAGUUUAAAUAUAAUUGGAUGUAUACUGUUUGAAAUUUGUACAAAAUCUUCAGCAUUGUCUUAUAUGCCUUGAAUAUAUCUACAUCCAUAUGUACUUUUGAGUGCUUGGAAUUUUUUUAUAUUUUACUCUAGAAGAACUUUAAGAUAUUACAAAGCAGAAAACAUGCUGGGUCUCAUAUAGUGAGAAGAAAUAAUGACUUUUAAAAUGUCUGUGCUAGGUAUUAUCAUCUGUUCACUCUGCACAUAUAAUAUGGACUUUUAUAACCUAAUGUUCAAAUUCCCCUAUAGUACAACUGUUUUUGUUUUUUAAUGUUGGAUAUGGGGUUUCCCUAUGUUGACCAGUUUGAUCUCGAAAUCCUGGCCUCAAGCAAUCCUCCCAUGUCAGCCUCCCAAAGUGCUAGGAUUACAGGCAUGAGGCACCAAGCCCAGCCACCUCGUAGUAUAACUGUUAAAACAAGAUUUCUUCACUGAUAACUUGAGUACUUUUCAAAUAUAAUUAUUCAUGGAAAUAAUGACAGGUUUAAAAUUAUUGGCACUUUUUAAAACUGAGUUGGUAAAAUUCAUAUAACAUAAAAUUAACCAUUAAAAUGUGUGAAAUUCAGUGGCAUUUAGUACUUUCACAAUGCAGUGCAAGCACUAUCUCUAUCUAUUGGCAAAGCACUUUCAUUACCACAAAAGAAAACCCUGGACCCAUUAAGCAUUCCCCAUUCCACUCUCUGCCCAGCCCCUGGCAAACACUCAUCUACUUUCCCUCACUACUGAUCAUCACAAUAAGUGGUCUUUUCCAAAGUCUUGCUUUUUUCACUUAGCGCGUUUCAAAUUUCAUGCAUUGGUUAUCUAUCUUAUUGACAUCUACCUCUUGGAUAUGGAUCUUCGCUAUUGUACCUUCAUCCACCCAAUUUAUCACCUGAAGGAGACAAUUUGAUGCCAUGGAACUUGCUGGACCUGCAACUGUGUGAAGUAAAUCAUACCCAGAUAGACUCAGUGAGGAGUAUAUUUAAUUUCUGAAAGAACAAAAUUCCUGAUAAGCACGGGUGGUUUAAGCUGAAUUUUGUUUUUAGUUGGAAAAACAAAACAAAACCAAAAAAAAAUCAACAGUUAAGACCAGGUUGCACCAAACUGGACAAAUCUCCAGGCAGCUAUGUUUGGUGGCGCCUUUAUCUCUGGUUUGCUUAUUUCAUAGACGAAGGGCAAGAGAAAGGCCUCAAACAUAGGGCUUCCCUGAAAAUGUGCAACACUACUACUACCGUGAGGAAAUCGCUUAAAGACAUAAUACUCCACUAGAGCCUCCUUCCCAGGAAGCCUCGCUGUGGGGAAAGGCUGAUCUGUUGGGAGGUGGGAGAGGCUUGGCCUCCAGGCGAGGUCUUCUUGCCUUCUCCUCUAACGCCUGAAGAGUGACAUAGACAUUGGUGGUAUCUUGGUGUAGAACCCGGAGAGUGAGGGGCUUGGAGUGAACCAGCAGCUGCCAGGCGGUCCUGGCACAGGAAGUCGUGGGUCGGGGCCUCAGUUCCUCCUGGUGUGGGCAGGACUGCAGGAACCCACUCAAACACACAUUGAGGCUUUUGUAGGCAUCUGUCUCUUCUUCCUGUCCCUUGGAGCAAGAGUCAGCAAGCUUUCUGAUGUUGGCAUCUUGCUAUGGGUCUUUGGGUCUCUGUGACCAAACAACAGGUUUAUUCAAAGGGAAGUUUACAGGAUUUGUUAUUAGAAGCUUCACACUCCAGGUUCUAUAGCAAGAUAUUGCCAAUGUCCAGGUCUCUUUUAAGGCCUUAGACAAGUAGGCAAGGACGCCCAGCAUGGAGGCCAAGCCUCUUUCACCUCUUACCAGACCACACCUACCCCAACAGGUAGUGCUCAGAGAACUCUGUAAUGGCGUUAAACGACUAUAAUUCGUUAAACGUCUUCCUCGUGAUGGCAGUAGUGCUCCAGAUAUGCCAAGAAGUCCUGUUACGUAGCCCUCUUCUCCCGCCCUUCCUGUCUGAAAAAACGCCACACAUAGACAAAGAGCCACCAAACAUGGAUGUCUUCUAUUUUGCCCAGUUUGGAGCCAGCUGGUCUUACUGCUGUGCUUUUUCUUUUUGUUUUCCACUUGAAAUCAAACCAAGGCCUAAACCAACCACCCUCAUCAGGAAUUUUGUUCUUUAAGAAAUUAUUCUACUGACCUAGUCUGUGUGGGUUUCAUUUACUUCAGAGUUACAGGUCCAAUAAUUUCCGUGGCAUCAAACUGUCUUUUUCAGGGGAUAGCUUCAGUGUAUGAACGCACAAAAAGGAGAAAAGGGCUGAAAGCUUGGAAAGGAACUCCAGCAACAAUUUAAAAAUCCCAGAGAUCUUGGCCCUGGCUCCCCUGUCAGGCAUCCAGGGAAUUCUUCCUAUUCUAAGAGCCUUAUGUGGUACAUCGUAGGCAACAAUUUGGCAUGAGCCAUUAGAGGAGAAACCAGGUGACGCUCUUUAUUGCAUGCCAUGUAUACUCCACAUGGCAUGAUACUCAUAGUACAUAUGCUCAAUUCCUGUCAAGGUGACUCAGAGUUUCAACUCAUGGUCUCAUCAUUUAACAUCAAAACACAGCAUGUGCCCAUGCCACUACAUAUUCUUCAAGUAUUCCCUGAGACUUUAUGGGCUGUGUGUGGUUGUGUUUGUGUGUGUCUCUGAGAGUUUUAUAAUGUCUUUUAGGUAUAAGAAUUAACUAGUAAAUUAAAGAAUAAUGCUUGACAAAGAUUAAGAAAAAUCCAUGUAUUAAUAAUGAAGAAAACCACUACCAUACAACUAGUCAAGGCAACUUAAGAACUUUUGGAUUAUUUCCAGGAAUAUCUUUAAAUAUGUACAUACAUUGUUAAUUUCAUGAAAAAAUAAAUCUGUAUUGAAAGUGGAUUACUGUGUACACUGUGGUUUGGAUCAGAUCAAGUGUGCAUUUUAACAAACCUUUGAGGAGGGUGAAUUCAUUUGAAUGUCACCAGUACGAAGUCUUAUAUGUCAACAUUUCAUGCCUUCAAUAUGAGUAAAGGUAAACCUUAAAAUAGGGCCUCACGAAUAUUACUUUAGAAAAGUAGACACUUAUCAUCUUUUUGUUUGAAUUUUUAAAGAUGCAUUACUAUACGUUUCAAAACAAAACGCCAUGAAGAGACAAAGACAACAGAAACUACGGAUACCUAAUAUUUUGCUCAAUAUGUGUAACCAUUUUCCACUCUUAACCAUUUGCUUUUGGCUUCCAUUGGAUAUUGAACUGAGAUGAGAUCCACUCACCCUCAACAAGCAUCUCCUCUUUUUAAGAACUCAGUUUCUGCACAACCAAAUCUCCCCACUUCUACUCUUUUUCAUUCAGCAUCCUAUCAGCAGUGUUUUAUUAUGAUAACAAAUAGUCUUGUUGUAUUGGGAACAGACCUUAAGGAUCCAUGCCUAAGAAAGAAUUAAAAAUAAAGCUUACCCCCAAGGUCUUGGAGAAGAGCAAAUCUAGGCACUGGGCCACGUGGUUGUUGUCCUUACUCCCUCCCCAGGUUCCCUGGGAGUUUUACUCCAUGUUCUGACCUAGUCAUUAGGCCUUAUAUGUUGAGCGGGAGGCCACUAUUUAGAGGGGCUAUAACAUAAGUGCCCAUGUAACUCUUAAACCUGACAAGACACACACAGCCCUGUUUGAAUGGACACAAACGAAUGACUAUAAAUGCUAAUCAGAUGGAUCACAGGAUUUUGUCUCAUGGUUUCAUUAUUCAACAUUGGAACAGAAAUAUUUUCCAAUGUCAUUAAAAGGCUAUGACUGGCUGGGUGUGCUGGCUCACACCUGUAAUCCCAGCAGUUUGGGAGGCCGAGGUGGGCAGAUCACUUGAGGUCAGGAGGUCGAGAUAAACCUGGCCAACAUGGUGAAACCCUGCCUCUACUAAAAUACAAAAAAAUUAGCCAGGUAUGGUGGUGCAUGCCCAUAAUCCCAGCUACUUGGGAAGCUGAGGCAGGAGAAUUGCUUGAACCCAAGGCAGAGGUUGCAGUGAGCUAAGGUCGUGCCGAUGCACUCCACCAUGGGUAACAAAGUGAGACUCCAUCCGUCUCAAAACAAACAAAAAGGCUAUGACUUAGGACUGCCUCUUAUGACUUUGUUGUGUAUGUGUCUUACUGUUUUUCACCUAGGAAUCAGUCCUAUACUUUCUUAUUAGUAAGGAAGACAUGGAAUUUGCAAUGAAGUUAAAAAAAACCCUUUGGGAGGUGGGGGCAGGUGGAUCACAAGGUCAAGAGAUUGAGACCAUCCUGCCAACAUGGUGAAACCCCAUCUCUACUAAAAACACAAAAAUUAGCUGAGUCUGGUGGUGCGCACCUGUAGUCCCAGCUACUCGGGAGGCGGAGGCAGGAGAAUCACUUGAACCUGGGAGGCAGAGGUUGCAGUGAGCCGAGAUCACCCCACUGCACUCCAGCCUGGCGACAGAGUAAGACUCCCUCUCAAGGAAAAGAAAGGGGGCGGGGGGAGGGGGGCGGUGGCUCAUGCCUGUAAUCUCAGCACUGUGGGAGACCUAGGAGGGCAGAUCACCUGAUGUCGGGAGUUCAAGACCAGACUGACCAACAUGGUGAAACCCCGUCUCUA
rnacentral:lncRNA from 1 species